rnacentral:rRNA from 1 species
CGGGUGAGUAACGCGUAAAGAACUUGCCUCUUAGACCGGGACAACAUCUGGAAACGGAUGCUAAUACCGGAUAUUAUGGUUUUUUCGCAUGGAGGAAUCAUGAAAGCUGGAUGCGCUAAGAGAGAGCUUUGCGUCCCAUUAGCUAGUUGGUGAGGUAACGGCCCACCAAGGCAAUGAUGGGUAGCCGGCCUGAGAGGGUGAACGGCCACAAGGGGACUGAGACACGGCCCUUACUCCUACGGGAGGCAGCAGUGGGGAAUAUUGGACAAUGGACCGCAAGUCUGAUCCAGCAAUUCUGUGUGCACGAUGACGUUUUUCGGAAUGUAAAGUGCUUUCAGUCGGGAAGAAGUCAGUGACGGUACCGACAGAAGAAGCGACGGCUAAAUACGUGCCAGCAGCCGCGGUAAUACGUAUGUCGCAAGCGUUAUCCGGAUUUAUUGGGCGUAAAGCGCGUCUAGGCGGCAAGGAAAGUCUGAUGUGAAAAUGCGGAGCUCAACUCCGUAUGGCGUUGGAAACUGCCUUAACUUAGAGUACUGGAGAGGUAGGCGGAACUACAAGUGUAGAGGUGAAAUUCGUAGAUAUUUGUAGGAAUGCCGA